CAUACCCUUGUCUCAAAAAUUACCCUUUGCAUGUCUAAUUAUAAACAAAUCUAUACUGUGAAACUGCAAAUGGCUCAUUAUAUCAUUUAUAUUUUAUUUGACGGUCCUUGCUACUUGAAUAACCGUAUUAAUUCUAGGGCUAAUACAUGCAUCAAACCCCGACUUCUGGAAGGGGUGUAUUUAUUAAAUUGAAACCAAUGCGGGGCACCCCGGAUUCUGGUGAUUCAUAAUAACUUUCGGAUCGACUUCGGUCGAUGCAUCAUUCAAUUUUCUGCCCUAUCAGCUUUGGAUGGUAGGGUAUUGGCCUACCAUGGCUUUAACGGGUAACGAAAAAUUAGGGUUCAAUUCCGGAAAGGGACCCUGAAAAUUGGCUCCCACAUCCAAGGAAGGCAGCAGGCCCGUAAUUUACCCAAUCC
rnacentral:rRNA from 1 species